CUACGGGAUGCAGCAGUGAGGAAUAUUGCACAAUGGGGGGAACCCUGAUGCAGCAACGCCGCGUGGAGGAUGACGCAUUUCGGUGUGUAAACUCCUUUUAUAUGUAAAGAAAAUGACGGUAGCAUAUGAAUAAGCACCGGCUAACUCCGUGCCAGCAGCCGCGGUAAUACGGAGGGUGCAAGCGUUACUCGGAAUCACUGGGCGUAAAGGACGCGUAGGCGGGUUGGAAAGUCAGGUGUGAAAUCCUACAGCUUAACUGUAGAACUGCACUUGAAACUUCUAAUCUAGAGUAUGGGAGGGGAGAUGGAAUUAGUGGUGUAGGGGUAAAAUCCGUAGAUAUCACUAGGAAUACCUAAAGCGAAGGCGAUCUCCUGGAACAUUACUGACGCUAAGGCGUGAAAGCGUGGGGAGCAAACAGGAUUAGAUACCCCGGUAGUC
rnacentral:rRNA from 1 species